rnacentral:rRNA from 1 species
CAGCAGCCGCGGUAAUACGGAGGGGGCUAGCGUUGUUCGGAAUUACUGGGCGUAAAGCGCACGUAGGCGGCUUGGUAAGUUAGAGGUGAAAGCCUGGAGCUCAACUCCAGAAUUGCCUUUAAGACUGCCUGGCUUGAACGUCGGAGAGGUGAGUGGAAUUCCGAGUGUAGAGGUGAAAUUCGUAGAUAUUCGGAAGAACACCAGUGGCGAAGGCGGCUCACUGGACGACUGUUGACGCUGAGGUGCGAAAGCGUGGGAGCAAACAGGAUUAGAUACCCGCGUAGUCCCUGUCUCUUAUACA